rnacentral:rRNA from 1 species
GGUACCGGUGGAUCACGUGGCUAGUGUGUCGAUGAAGAGCGCAGCCAACUGUGUGAAUUCAUGUGAACUGCAUGCUCAUUUGAACAUCGACUUUUCGAACGCAAAUUGCGGCCACGGGUUAACCCGUGGCCACGUCUGUUCGAGCGUUGGUUUAUAAACUAUCACGACGCCCAUAAAGUCGUGGCCUGGGUCUUGCCAGCCGACGUGAUUUCUCCUGUCUCGUCACGGGAGUGUCGGAUCUAUGGCUUUUCCUCAAUGUAUCCAGACGCGUACCGCGACCCUUCGGGGUCACGUGCGGCGGCGGAGUCGUGGCUUAAUAUGUAUAUGAUCGAAUGCACGCUCUGUCAUCGCAAAAUGUCUGACGACUACCUCAUAAGUGCCUUGUGCGCUUCCCAACCUCGGAUCAGGCGUGAAUACCCGCUGAACUUAAGCAUAUCACUAAGCGGAGGAAAAGAAACUAACCAG